UACGUAGGGAGCAAGCGUUGUCCGGAAUCAUUGGGCGUAAAGAGCGCGUAGGUGGCCAUUUAAGUCCGCUGUGAAAGUCAAAGGCUCAACCUUUGAAAGCCGGUGGAUACUGGAUGGCUAGAGUACGGAAGAGGCGAGUGGAAUUCCUGGUGUAGCGGUGGAAUGCGCAGAUAUCGGGAGGAACACCGGUGGCGAAGGCGGUUCUCUGGGCCUUACCUGACGCUGAGGAGCGAAAGCGUGGGGAGCGAACAGG
rnacentral:rRNA from 1 species